CGAUCAGGUAAUCCUCCAUUGCGCGCUCGUCCUUGAGGUACUGCUCGGACUUGCCGCGCGUCACCUUGAACAGCGGCGGCUGGGCGAUGUAGAGAAACCCGCCUUCGAUCAGCGCCGGCAUCUGCCGGAAGAAGAACGUCAGCAGCAGCGUACGGAUAUGCGCGCCGUCGACGUCGGCGUCGGUCAUCACGAUGAUCUUGUGAUAGCGCAGCUUCGAGAUAUCGAAGUCGUCGCG
rnacentral:misc_RNA from 1 species